UACACGUGAGUAACCUGUCCUAGUCUUUGGGAUAACCUUCGGAAACGGGGGCUAAUACCGGAUAUUCCUGUCUUCACGCAUGUGGGGGUGGGGAAAGCUUUUGCGGAUUGGGGUGGGCUCGCGGCCUACCAGCUUGUUGGUGGGGUGAUGGCCUACCAAGGCUUUGACGGGUAGCCGGCCUGAGAGGGCGACCGGCCACACUGGGACUGAGACACGGCCCAGACUCCUACGGGAGGCAGCAGUUGGGAAUAUUGCACAAUGGACGCAAGUCUGAUGCAGCGACGCCGUGUGAGGGAUGACGGCCUUCGGGUUGUAAACCUCUUUCGCCAGGGACGAAGCCGGCUUGUCCGGUGACGGUACUUGGAGAAGAAGCGCCGGCCAACUACGUGCCAGCAGCCGCGGUAAGACGUAGGGCGCGAGCGUUGUCCGGAUUUAUUGGGCGUAAAGAGCUCGUAGGCGGCUCAUUGCGUCAACCGUGAAAACCAGCAGCUCAACUGUUGGCUUGCGGUUGAUACGGGUGGGCUGGAGUUCGGUAGGGGAGACUGGAAUUCCUGGUGUAGCGGUGAAAUGCGCAGAUAUCAGGAGGAACACCGGUGGCGAAGGCGGGUCUCUGGGCCGAUACUGACGCUGAGGAGCGAAAGCGUGGGGAGCGAACAGGAUUAGAUACCCUGGUAGUCCACGCUGUAAACGUUGGGCGCUAGGUGUGGGGACCUUCCACGGUUUCCGCGCCGUAGCUAACGCAUUAAGCGCCCCGCCUGGGGAGUACGGCCGCAAGGCUAAAACUCAAACGAAUUGACGGGGGCCCGCACAAGCGGCGGAGCAUGUUGCUUAAUUCGACGCAACGCGAAGAACCUUACCAAGGCUUGACAUUGCCCGGAAACACUCAGAGAUGGGUGCCUCUUCGGAUCGGAUGACAGGUGGUGCAUGGCUGUCGUCAGCUCGUGUCGUGAGAUGUUGGGUUAAGUCCCGCAACGAGCGCAACCCUUGUUCAAUGUUGCCAGCACGCUCCUUCGGGGGUGGUGGGGACUCAUUGGAGACUGCCGGGGUCAACUCGGAGGAAGGUGGGGAUGACGUCAAGUCAUCAUGCCCCUUAUGUCUUGGGCUGCAAACAUGCUACAAUGGCCGGUACAGAGGGCUGCGAUACCGCAAGGUGGAGCGAAUCCCUGAAAGCCGGUCUCAGUUCGGAUUGGGGUCUGCAACUCGACCCCAUGAAGUCGGAGUCGCUAGUAAUCGCAGAUCAGCAACGCUGCGGUGAAUACGUUCCCGGGCCUUGUACACACCGCCCGUCACGUCACGAAAGUCGGCAACACCCGAAGCCCGUGGCCCAACCAGCUUGCUGGGGGGAGCGGUCGAAGGUGGGGCUGGCGAUUGGGACGAAGUCGAAACAAGGUA
rnacentral:rRNA from 1 species